AACUUUUGACAAUGGAUCUCUUGGCUCUCGCAUCGAUGAAGAACGCAGCGAAAUGCGAUAAGUAAUGUGAAUUGCAGAAUUCAGUGCAUCAUCGAAUCUUUGAACGCACCUUGCGCUCCUUGGUAUUCCGAGGAGCAUGCCUGUUUGAGUGUCAUUAAAUUCUCAACCUUCCAACUUUUAUUAGCUUGGGUAGGCUUGGAUGUGGGGGUUGCAGGCUUCAUCAAUGAGGUCAGCUCUUCUUAAAUGCAUUAGCGGAACUUUUGUGUACCGUCUAUUGGUGUGAUAAUUAUCUACGCCGUGGAUGAGAAACAGCUUUAUCAAGUUCAGCUUCUAACCGUCCAUUACUUGGACAAUUUUGACAAUUUGACCUCAAAUCAGGUAGGACUACCCGCUGAACUUAAGCAUAUCAAUAAGCGGAGGCU
rnacentral:misc_RNA from 1 species